CAGCUUGGGAAUCCGAGCCGGACUCCGCCCACUCUACAUGGCCACGCUUUCAUGGGCAGGCGGGCCAUCACGGAACGGAAAGGCAACAAGAGAAAUCCAGAUAGUAGAAAGAAGUCGUUGCAACUGCAGUAAUGCAGACAAGAAGAGACAAGAGCUGGCCUAGGCUUCUUCAUCGAUGGUUUCAUCUACGUACAAUAUCAACAGGAAAACGUGACUCAUUCUACAGAAGAGCGACAUUCACGGCACGUAGACAGACUGCGUCAACUAGUUAGGACGUACCCGAAGCCGCCGGACUGUGCUGUAUAGGUGGUAGCUAGCUAUAGCUGAACUUCCACAAGUGCACGCGUACUUGCAAUUUGAACAGUGCGUGAUGAUUGGU